AUGGCGAGCGGGGAGGACCGCAUAAGCGCCCUCCCGGAGGACAUCCUCCACCAGGUGCUCCGCCUCCUGCCGGCUCAUGAGGUGGUGCGGACGUGCUUGCUCGCCCGGCGCUGGCGCGGCGUCUGGAGGUCCGUGCCCACCCUCUGCUUCACCGGAGCCAAGGGGUGGGGCAGCGCCGACAGGUUCGCCCAAUUCGUGGACCACUUGCUCCACCUCAGGUGCGGGGGCGACGGCCCGCCUCUGGAUUCCUGCGAUUUCGACUUCGAUCACGACGGAUUCAUGCUGUGGCCCGCAAACAAGCGGCGUGCCAGCAUCUGGCUCUGGAAGGCUCUGCCUCGUGUCCGGGCGCUGGGCCUUUGUAUCGUCGAGGAGCUGGAAACCUGGACACGAUUAUCUGAUAAGCAUCUCUUCUCCCAGCACCUCACUAGAUUAGAGCUUGCUGGAGUCAGUGUCAGCGACAGCGUCGUUGAUUUUUCAGGCUGUCCGGCAUUGGUGCAACUGAGUAUGGAUUAUUGCGAUGUUUUUGUCAGACAGCUGGUGUCUCCAUCCUUGAAACAUCUGCGCGUUACCCGCUGCUAUACUUCUCGCAAUUACCGCAUUCUUAUUUCUCUACCAAAUCUUGUUUCGCUCGAGUUCAUCCAGUGGGGCGAAGGAAGGGCUCCAUUGCUUGGAAGCUUGCCGCAGUUAGCAAGAGCUGAUAUUUUUCUUAACGGGGAUUGUGCUGAUCAAUGCUCUGAGGGACGGUUUGAUGGUUGUGAUGCUGAUGACAGUGAUAUCUGUUAUGGUUGUUAUUAUUAUUAUGGGGAUCCUAUACAUGGGCCUCAUUAUGACUGCAACAACUGCAUCGUUCUCAAAGGUUUGUCAGAAGCCACAGACUUGGAGUUGACAGCUUAUCAUGAUCCGACUGUUUUGAACAGGGAUUUGAAGUGGUGCCCUACAUUUACCAAGUUAAAGACUUUGCUACUCAAUGAUUGGUGUCUGGCUGCUGACCACAAUGCACUAAUUUGUUUUCUCCAACAUGCACCAAUUUUGGAGAAGCUUACCAUUCAACUUCCUGAGAAACCUUCAUAUGUAACUGGAGCAGAAGGAAUAUACAAACCAUUGGGACAGUCAGUUGCAUCCAACUGUCUUGAGAUUGUUGAAAUCAAAUGUGCAAAUGUCGAUAGCAGGGUUCACAAAAUUCUGAAGAUUCUGACUAUGUAUGGCAUACACCUUGAGCAAAUUAGUGUCCAACAGACUUGCAAAAUUCCUGGAUCUGGAUGUUUCAAUUUUGUUUGCACUGGUUUCUGCUAA
rnacentral:rRNA from 1 species